rnacentral:lncRNA from 1 species
CGCAUUAAAACGGACCACAAAAUCUCAAAAUAUCUCAGUCUCUCCUUGUUUGAUCGAGAAGAGACUGUCGGAGGUUUGUGGUGGCCUUCGACUGGUGCUGAAGUGAGCCACGAAAGAAUGUUCUAGCUAUCCGAAGGAGUAUAUACUUCUCGAUUGAAGUGCAAAGUACCAAGCUCGAGCAAUUUUUUGAAGAAUUAUCAGGAAGUCGAUACACAAGAGGGCGUCGGUUGCCUCCAGAAUUAUCAUGAGAGCUUUGUAGCUCUCAAGGUGGUA